GACAGAGGGUGCAAACGUUGUUCGGAAUUACUGGGCGUAAAGCGUGUGUAGGCGGUCCGACUAAGUCGGGGUGUGAAAGCCCCUGGGGCUCAAACCCCAGGGAAGUGCACUCGAAAACUGGGCGGGCGUAGAGUAGUCGGAGAGGUUGGUGGAAUUCUCGGUGUAGCAGUGAAAUGCGUAGAUAGUCGUGAGGAAGACCAGUGGCGAAGGCGGAUCUCUGGACAGCUCCUGACGGCGUGAGCGGCGAAGGC
rnacentral:rRNA from 1 species